GACGAACGCUGGCGGCGUGCUUAACACAUGCAAGUCGAACGGAAAGGCCCUGCUUUUGUGGGGUGCUCGAGUGGCGAACGGGUGAGUAACACGUGAGUAACCUGCCCUUGACUUUGGGAUAACUUCAGGAAACUGGGGCUAAUACCGGAUAGGAGCUCCUGCUGCAUGGUGGGGGUUGGAAAGUUUCGGCGGUUGGGGAUGGACUCGCGGCUUAUCAGCUUGUUGGUGGGGUAGUGGCUUACCAAGGCUUUGACGGGUAGCCGGCCUGAGAGGGGUGCCGGCGACAAUGGGACUGAGAGACGGCGCAGACUCGUAUGGGAGGCAGCAGUGGGGAGUAUUGCGCAAUAGGGGGAAGCGUGAGGCGGCAACGCCGCGUGCGGGAUGACGGCCUUCGGGGGGUAAACCGCUGUCGCCUGUGACGAGGCGUGAGUGACGGUAAUGGGUAAAGAAGCACCGGCUAACUACGUG
rnacentral:rRNA from 1 species